GCUGGGCGUGGUGACUCACGCCUGUAAUCCCAGAAAUCUGGGAGGCCGAGGCGGGUGGAUCACUUGAGGUCAGGAAUUUGAGACCAGCCUGGCCAACAUAGUGAAACCCUGUCUCUA
ensembl:misc_RNA Metazoa_SRP Metazoan signal recognition particle RNA